AUUGAACGCUGGCGGCAGGCCUAACACAUGCAAGUCGAACGGUAGCACAGAGAGCUUGCUCUCGGGUGACGAGUGGCGGACGGGUGAGUAAUGUCUGGGAAACUGCCUGAUGGAGGGGGAUAACUACUGGAAACGGUAGCUAAUACCGCAUAACGUCGCAAGACCAAAGAGGGGGGACCUUCGGGCCGUCCUUGCCAUCAGAUGUACCCAGAUGGGAUUAGCUAGUAGGG
rnacentral:rRNA from 1 species